rnacentral:tRNA from 1 species
ACAUUAGUGGUUCAGUGGUAGAAUUCCCACCUUCCACCUGGGAGACCUGGGUUCAAUUCCCAGCCAAUACA